AAGAUUUCGAUGGGCUUGGAAGAAGAAGGAAGGAACUACUUUAUUUGGCCGAUCAGAAAACUCCUCUCGUACUUCUGUCCACUGAUGUAUCCUGAUCUCCUAAAAUUGUACCAGAAGUACCAUUUGUCCUUGAAAAUCCUACAUGAUCUGAGGGAAGACAUUUAGAAGGAUAUUGUUCUAUCAACUACCAACUGACUGUUAAAGGCAAACUGUCUAUUGGCACUUUAGUUUGCACCCAGCUUCGACAGUAACUGAAGAGUUCAAUGUGAAACAAUGUACCUUAGACAAAGCCUGAAAUCACUGUCAUUACUGACCUAAUUGAUAUAUGCUACAAUGGAAUUCUCUGAAUGUCUCCCAUAUAGAAGUACGGACAUAAAGGAGAAGUGUUCUCACUGUAGAGGCCCCCAUUUAAGAACGCAUAUUGUAUCCUGAAAUA